ACCUGCCCUAUGAUUAGAUUAAAUGGCUGCGGUAUUUUGACCGUGCAAAGGUAGCAUAAUCAUUCGUUUUUUAAUUGGGAACUGGUAUGAAAGGUCGAACGAGAAAAAGACUGUCUCAAUUUAAUUUAGAUUAGAAUUUUAUUUUUAAGUAAAAAAGCUUAAAUAUUUUUAAAAGACGAGAAGACCCUAUAGAGUUUUAUAUUUUAAUAUUUAUAUUAAAAAUUAAAGUAUUUUUUUUUAAAAUAGGUAUGAUAAUAUUUGAUUGGGGCGAUUAAAAAAUUAAAUUAACUUUUUUUAAAUUAUAACAUUGAUUUAUGAUUAAGUGAUCCAUAUUUAAUGAUUAUAAGAUUA
rnacentral:rRNA from 1 species